GAUGAACGCUGGCGGCGUGCUUAACACAUGCAAGUCGAACGGAAAGGCUCCUGCUUGCAGGGGUACUCGAGUGGCGAACGGGUGAGUAACACGUGGGUGAUCUGCCCUGCACUUCGGGAUAAGCCUGGGAAACUGGGUCUAAUACCGGAUAGGACCACAUUUUGGAUGGUGUGGUGGAAAGUUUUUCGGUGUGGGAUGAGCUCGCGGCCUAUCAGCUUGUUGGUGGGGUAAUGGCCUACCAAGGCGUCGACGGGUAGCCGGCCUGAGAGGGUGUACGGCCACAUUGGGACUGAGAUACGGCCCAGACUCCUACAGGAGGCAGCAGUGGGGAAUAUUGCACAAUGGGCGCAAGCCUGAUGCAGCGACGCCGCGUGGGGGAUGACGGCCUUCGGGUUGUAAACUCCUUUCGCUAGGGACGAAGCGUUUUUGUGACGGUACCUGGAGAAGAAGCACCGGCUAACUACGUG
rnacentral:rRNA from 1 species